AGGCCAUCUGGGUGUAUACGUGCAAGUCACAAGGGAUGCGAUGGCUUGGCUUGGGCUCAGAGGCCUGACACUGGAAUGUAAUGGGCUUCUUAAGAAACUGGAGUUGCAAGGUAUUUUCUGUCUUCUUCUUUCACACAUUAAAAAGAAAGAAAGAAAAAGUUUCAGAAUUCUCGAGAAGUAUGCAAUAGGUUGAAAACCAAAAAAUAAAAACAACACGUACUAGCUUUUAUAUCUCAAACACCCAAAUAAAUCAUUUGGUAGUCCUAGAGCAUUGCACAGAACGACUGGAGACUGUUCCAAUUCCUGUGAAGCCAUGCAGAGAAGACCAGGGAAAACUUUGAAAGACAAUUGGUAUUGUUGACUUAAUAGAACACAACUGGAUAAUUAUGGCAUUGGCCAGUGCCUGAGUGAACAGAUGAUUCAAGCGUUCCCUGCCUCCAACAAUGACUUGGCACUAUAUAACAACUCUGAAAAUUAGACAUGACUCUUUGAAAAUUGGGAACCUCAACAGAAUAAAAUCUAUUAUCCUAUUAGAGCUUUAAAACAUAAACUAAA
rnacentral:lncRNA from 1 species